GCAGGCAUCUCGCUCUCCCGGGGGCUCGGUGCAGAGCGGCGGGGAGGACGCUUCUCUUUACGCUCACGGGCCCCCGCUGCUCGGACCCCGGCCCGCAGACAGGCCAUCCAUCACCCGCCUCCUCCCGCCGCGCGCGGCCGCCGCGGCCAAUCGGGCGGCAGGUGGGGUCGCACCUGCCGGACAGCCCGCCGCUGCCCUCCUGCUCUCCGCGCCGCGCCUCCCAGGCUGGAGGCGCCCUCGUGAGCCCCCGCGUUCUCCAAGGCCAGAACAGACAGUUGAGGAUGGUCUUACUUCUCCAUGUUCUGAAACCAGUUUAAACAAAAACAAAAACCAGACAACAACCUCGCAAGGAGCUCAGGGUAAACAAACAGCCUUUUUCUGGAAAGUAAAAUGUUUCCCCAAGAUGGGGAAAUUGAGAUGAGAGCUCGUCCAGAAGAAUACCCAUCAAUGUGCACUAAGUAGAAAAAUCAGCCAGAAGACUGGGAGCUUUUAAUAUCAGGAAACUUACACAAAUACCAUGAUUCCCAGAAGAGGUAUGCAAGCUGUUUUGUCAAAGAUGUUUUGUAAAUAAGUCUGGGAUAAAAUGCAACAGAAUCGAGCCACGAUUGGAAGCGCUUACCGGAAUAAGAGAAGAACUUAGUCCCCAAAGCCCUCUCAAUGUUUGGAUUAAUUUCCUUUUUUCAGAAGGCCAAAAAGGACACCAAUUAAAGCCAGUUAUGGACUAUAUUCAGACUUUCCAUAUUUUCACCCCAUUCCAGUAAAAGUUCCCCUCCAAAGAAAUUUGGUCGAGAGAUGGAAUGAAAGAAUGAGAGACGUUUUAUUUUCUCUCCUAGAUGUUGGCAGGACUUCACUCCUACAUGUCUGAGGUUGUUUUCAUCUUGCAAAGUACUUUGAUAUUUGUGAAUGUGGCUACAUGGCUUAAAACAAGACCAGUGAUAACUCAUGCUAAUUAUUCAGCUUGUAUAUUAAUGCUUGACAAGAGAGAAAAGAACUUUUUCUUCCUUGAUGAUGGUUGUAAAAAUUAAGAAACGCGGGAGGAACGGAAAGAUCUGUGUUCUUCAGAGUGAUAAGCUUCCAUUUCACAGAGUUCUUGC
rnacentral:lncRNA from 1 species